AUAAAACGAGAAAGAGAACGUGUGAGUGGGUGUGCGCGCGAGAGAAAUAGAUAGAUGGAUAUAGAGAGAAAAAGACAGAGAGUGAGAGAAAGAGAGAGAUAUACUAAAAGAAACUGGGAGUGAUAGGAAGAGAGUGAGGCAGUAUAGUUUGUCGCUAUCGUUGUUAGUGUUGCUGAUAAUAUUCAUUCAUUAUUUGUAUGUAGUCAGUGUUAUUGUUUAGAAGUGCCGCUACUAGUACUAGAAUUGUUGACUUGUGCAAUCCCCUUUAUAUAUAUAUAUAAUAUAUAAUAUAUAUAUCGACACGUUGUUUUUAAAAAAAAAAAUUGGUUUCUGUAUAUGUUUAUUUUAUAUUUAAUCAUAUCUAAAUUCCUGCUUUAAGUUGUUAUUUAACAAUUUUUUUCGUUCUUAAUUGUUUUAUUUUUUUUUCUCAUAUCCUUUUUUAAAAAUAACGAUAGUUGCGCCUUUCUCGUUCGUGUCGUCUGCUUAUUGAGUGACAAACGCUGGAAAAUACCCGAAAAAAAGUUACGUGGAGAAAACGAGAGAGGGAGAGAAAAAAAAUAGAGAAAUAGGGGAAAUCACUGCAAAUAAUAAUAAUAUUAAUAAUAAUAAAAACAAGAUAACACAGAACAAAAAAUAAUUUUGUGGCGCUUUUUAAAAAAAGAAAAUAGAUUUGUUCGCUUUUAGUUUGGUUUCAUAUUUGUUAUAUUCAUAUUUAUAUUUUGUAAUUUUAUUUCGUUGGCAACCUAAAGAUAUUCCGUGCCUCUGCUUAAUUAUAUUGCACAAGUAAAUAUACACAAAACAUCAACGACAACAACAAUAAUAAACAUAAAAAAACAAGCAAACAAACAAACAGAUACACUCUUCUUUCGUCUAUAAGGAAGUCAACUACAACAACAACAAUAAUAAUAAUUUGACUAUUUUGAACGGUAUCACUACAAGAUAAAGAGG
rnacentral:lncRNA from 1 species